ACAAAGGGAUCCUCGAUGGAAAUCGAAAUAAUUUUAAUUUUUCGCUGUGCAUGUAUAAGUAGAUUCCCAACAAUUUUUGCCACACAAGAAAGCCAGAAAUCAAAUGAUGCAUGAGUCAAGGAAAAAGAGAAAUUCUUAAAAUGAUUAUGAAAUUACAAGGACGAUUUCUAGAGUUAUAGUAACUUAUUACAUGAACAAGCAAUCAGAACACAUAAAUUAAUCGACCAGAAAGAGCAAGAGUAAAAAAAAUGCAAUUCUUCAAAUCCACUCCAGCACUCUUUUAAGUAAAAUUUCCCCAAGAAGUUUUCAAGUGGAAAGGGAAAUAUAUUAAAAGAAGUGUCUGAUUUAGAAAAGAUUGAAGGAGUAGCCUGGAUGGAAUGAAGAGUUUAGCAGCAGUUUUGUCUUGUUGGCUUGGAAAAAUUAUUCCUGUCACAUACAUAAAGAUGUCGACCGCAUCCUGGCCAUUUUGCCUUCAAAGUAGCAAGCAGCCUGAGAUUUCAAGGGGCUGUACAUUCUUAGUCGCACCUGGUGAACCUUAGAUAGUAAAGCAAGCUUUCCAUCUAUGUUAAGCCAUGGUGAAUGUAGCCUCAACAAGCGAAUAUGAAAAUAUAAUACGUAUAUGAAAGGAGAAAAACGUGUUUCUAAAGUUGU
rnacentral:lncRNA from 1 species